CCUACGGGGGGCAGCAGUGGGGAAUAUUGGACAAUGGGCGAAAGCCUGAUCCAGCCAUGCCGCGUGUGUGAAGAAGGCCUUCGGGUUGUAAAGCACUUUCAGUGGGGAAGAAAGCCUUGGGGCUAAUACCCUCGAGGAAGGACAUCACCUACAGAAGAAGCACCGGCUAACUCCGUGCCAGCAGCCGCGGUAAUACGGAGGGUGCGAGCGUUAAUCGGAAUUACUGGGCGUAAAGCGCGCGUAGGCGGUCUGAUAAGCCGGUUGUGAAAGCCCCGGGCUCAACCUGGGAACGGCAUCCGGAAUUGGCAGGCUAGAGUGAAGGAGAGGAAGGGAGAAUUCCCGGUGUGGAGGUGAAAUGCGUAGAGAUCGGGAGGAAUACCAGUGGCGAAGGCGGCCUUCGGGACUGACACGGACGCUGAGGUGCAAAAGCGUGGGUAGCAAACAGGAUUAGAUACCCUGUAGUC
rnacentral:rRNA from 1 species